GAUGAAGAACGUAGCGAAAUGCGAUACGUAAUGUGAAUUGCAGAAUUCAGUGAAUCAUCGAAUCUUUGAACGCAUAUUGCGCUCUCUGGUAUUCCGGAGAGCAUGCUUGUUUGAGUAUCAGUAAACACCUCAACUUCCAUAUCUUUUUUGAAAUGGGAGUUGGACUUGAGUGAUCCCAACGCUUUUCCUCACCGAAAAGUGGCGGGUUACUUGAAAUGCAGGUGCAGCUGGACUUUUCUCUGAGCUAUAAGCAUAUCUAUUUAGUCUGCCUAAAAAACAGAUUAUUACCUUUGCUGCAGCUAACAUAAAGGAGAUUAGUUCUUGUGCUGACUGAUGCAGGAUUCACAAAGACAGGCUUCGGCCGACUUUGUAAACUCGAUCUCAAAUCAAGUAAGACUACCCGCUGAUCUUAAGCAUAUCAAUAAGCGGAGGA
rnacentral:misc_RNA from 1 species